UUCGUAAGUGGUGUGCUAUUCUAGUUUUCACUAUUAACUGCGAGGGUAGGCCUAAAAAUCUACUGAAAGAGCAUAUCGAUGAAGUUCUUUAAGUUUUGCUCGCGACGCCCAGUCGAGGGUUUGCUUAGGGAGUAAGGUUUAAGGGCGAUCCAUAAUGGCAUAUGGGCGUUGACCCUUUUACCGUGGAGACAUGCUUACAAUUUGGUAAGUUAUGAUAAACCUGCGAGGCUUGCUUAUGCAAAAGCAAGUACACAGAGUAGCUUUCCUUGAGCGGUGUUGGUGGAUACUUUUUAAGUUGAAACCAGUACUGCAAAAGAGGAUAAACAGUUGAGAUGUGAUGUCUGGGAAAACUUCUAGAGCAUUCAUUCGUGAGACACUUUUGAGAUUGAAGUGUGGACUAAGUGGUAAUCUAGGCUCUUAAUUGGUGACAGUAAGAUAUUAUCUUUAAACGGAAACGGCUAAGAUGGCGAUAUCUUAGUAGAUAAUAGGGAAACCCUUCUAGACCUAAGCCGCAAAAUUUAUCUGAGGUGUUACCACUUACUUUUUUAU
rnacentral:sRNA from 1 species